AUGGCAAUUGAGCCAUCCAAAGAAUCUGGUGCAAUGAAAGAAUUCAAAACAAAUAUCAGGAUACGUGAACGGGUAGUCUGGAAUCGUAGCUGGACCAAUUGGAGAAGCCGUGGAGCACCAGUAAAAGGGGUUGGAGGAGGAAAAUUAGGAGGACAGGGAUCAGGAGGAUCAGUCUCUGGAGAAAAUGGUAGUGGCGGAGGUGAGAAAAACGAAAGUGGAAAAGAUAGAGGAAGUGAACCGAUGGAAGAGGAAGAUGAGAAAAUUUAA